UGCUGGGUCCUCCCCUCAGAGCUUCUCAACCAUGUUUGGGAUGGUCUAGGGAUGAAACUGCUGGACAGCUGAGCCAUGGAGACUGGGGAGAGGCCUGCCUGGCUGAGACCAAGCCCUGCUGUACCAUCUGCAUUUGACAGUGAGGAUGCCCAUUGACAGGAAGCAGACGUAGAGAAAAGGAGAAUCAGAAUGAUCGACAGGCUUCAAAUCCUACCUCUAACACUUAACUACGUUCCGCACGUUUGGUCUCGGGCAGGCCAGUUAACUCAUCAAGACCCCAUUUUCACCCCCCUGAAAAGUGGCAUAGUAACUCAGUUCUAUUGAGUUACUGAGGACUGGCCCACAAAGAGACAAGCAAUAAUGGAUCUGAAGUUCCUGAACUUGCGUGCAAGCGUUUGACAGAGGCUGAUGAGAGAUUCCUGUCACUGUGUGUGUGCCGAAGUUCUCUGGAACUGGGACCGGUGAUAUUGAUCUGACCCUCUGCAGUGUUCCGAGGGCUUGCUUACCCACUCCAAGUCUGUGAGUCCUAAUGAAGCAGAGCUAAGUCCGCUGAAGACCACCUUUGGGAGAUCCUGGAGUGGCUGCUCCCUGAAGAGAGUCCUGGUCCUAGGAAUCUGGGAUUCUACCUGAAGUCCCAAAGAUGAACAAAUGGUAGAGAGGCACCUGACUGAGCCUGCUUCCUAACCGACUUCUCAGAACUGCCUGCCGCUGGGCUGCCUAACAGAAGCUCAAGUUCUGGGAUUCCACCCUUGAAGAGAACUGAAUCUGCACUUAACUUAGUGCGCCCUGUAGGUCAGGACAUGUAGUUCUUGCUACCCUGAAGCUCACUAUGUACGACAGACUGGCCCCAACACACUGAGAUCUGCGUGGUUCUGUCUCCCCGGUGCUGAGAUCAAAGGUCGAGUUUAGGUCAAAGUUGUGGGCCCAGCCGAGAUGGGAGCAUCCCAGCCUUCCCAGGCACUCCCCCUCACUGUGAUGGACACCAGUGAAGGAACAUAGGAAGUCAAGUGUCAAUAACCUCCAACCUGAACCUUCAUGGCCACCUACCAUCCACAAGACAGAGCUGUGUAUAUUGGAGUCAGCUCUUCACCUGUGAUAUCAGCAGGGUCCGGAAGGGUGCUGAGCUUCCAUCAGCGAUGAGACUUAACAGGCAACAAACCCAAGGAGCGCUGUUGGCUUCCUACUGCCCAUACCCAUCUCUAGAAAGCAAACCAAUGGUGCGAGGUGCAGAACCUAGCCGAUUCUCUCCUCUCCCUCUCCUAAGCUCAGCAGCAGGGAGAGCUGACCUCCUGUUUUCACCUAGAAGCAGCAGAGCUGUGUGGGUCAGUCCCCUGCUUCCUGCCUCUCUGGACAAUGAAGUCUGCCAGGAGACUAAGUUUCAUUCCCUUUUGAAGGCAAUGGGUUUGCAAGAGUCAGGGCAUAUCUUUCCUCAGGAGAGGAUUUCCCCCUAAUAAAAUAAAGGUGUCAUAAAACAAUGUCAAAAUUGUC
rnacentral:lncRNA from 1 species